AUAGGGUUAAUUACAACCUAAUCUUUACACUAUUUUUCAAUAUAAUCCCUAACUUUCUUUUUGCAAUUAAGUUUCUAAUCUUUUAAUUUUAUUGUAAUUAAGUCUCAGCCGUCAGAUAGGUGUUAAAAUUGAUAAAAAAUAUUAGGUCAGCGCCAUGAAGGAGCCGUGUCAACACUACCCAGGCGCCAUAUCAGCGCCAGCUAAUUAUACAAUUUAAAUUUAAAUUUAAAUUUAAAUCUAAAUUAUACAUUCAAUUAAAUUAUAAAUUCAAAGCAAGAUUUUUAAUUUAAAAUUUAAAAUUUGGUUUUGGAUUCAAAUUUAAAUUUUGAUUUUAUAUUUAAUUUUAAAUUCAAAUUCACAUUUUGAAUUCUA
rnacentral:lncRNA from 1 species